UGGGAGGACUGUCUUUUGUUAAGGCUUUAAGAUAAGUAAAAAGGAGCUUCAGAUAUAUACCUGUCGUGGUUUGGCUCUGUGUUUCCACCCAAAUCUCAUGUCAGAUUGUAAUCCCCACACGUUGAAGGAGGGGCCUGGUGGGAGGUGAUUGAAUCACGGGAGCAGACUUGUCCCUUGCUUUUCUAGCGAUGGAGUUCUCAGGAGAUCUGGUUGUUUGAAAGUGCGUGGCACUUUCCCCUUUCCUGUCUCUCUCUCUCUCCUGUUCUGCCAUGGUAAGACGUGUUUGCUUCCCCAUAGCCUUCCACCAUGACUGUAAAUUUCCUGAGCCCUCCCAGCCAUGCUUUCUGUACAGCCUGUGGAACUGUGAGUCAAUUAAACCUCUUUUC
rnacentral:lncRNA from 1 species